rnacentral:rRNA from 1 species
CAGCAGUGGGGGAUAUUGCACAAUGGGGGAAACCCUGAUGCAGCGACGCCGCGUGAGGGAAGACGGUCCUCUGGAUUGUAAACCUCUGUCUUCGGGGACGAAAGAAGACGGUACCCGAGGAGGAAGCCACGGCUAACUACGUGCCAGCAGCCGCGGUAAUACGUAGGUGGCAAGCGUUGUCCGGAAUUACUGGGUGUAAAGGGAGCGUAGGCGGGCAGGCAAGUCAGGCGUGAAAUAUAUCGGCUCAACCGGUAUCUGCGCUUGAAACUGCAGGUCUUGAGUGAAGUAGAGGUUGGCGGAAUUCCUAGUGUAGCGGUGAAAUGCGUAGAUAUUAGGAGGAACACCAGUGGCGAAGGCGGCCAACUGGGCUUUUACUGACGCUGAGGCUCGAAAGUGUGGGGAGCAAACAGGAUUAGA